AGAGUUUGAUUCUGGCUCAGAUUGAACGCUGGCGGCGUGCUUAACACAUGCAAGUCGAACGUGAAAGUCCUUCGGGACGAGUAAAGUGGCGCACGGGUGAGUAACGCGUGGAUAAUCUACCCUUAAGAUGGGGAUAACGGCUGGAAACGGUCGCUAAUACCGAAUACGCUCCCGAUUUUAUCAUUGGGGGGAAAGAUGGCCUCUGCUUGCAAGCUAUCGCUUAAGGAUGAGUCCGCGUCCCAUUAGCUAGUUGGCGGGGUAACGGCCCACCAAGGCAACGAUGGGUAGCCGGUCUGAGAGGAUGACCGGCCACACUGGAACUGGAACACGGUCCAGACUCCUACGGGAGGCAGCAGUGGGGAAUAUUGCGCAAUGGGCGAAAGCCUGACGCAGCGACGCCGCGUGAGGGAUGAAGGUUCUCGGAUCGUAAACCUCUGUCAGGGGGGAAGAAACCCCCUCGUGUGAAUAAUGCGAGGGCUUGACGGUACCCCCAAAGGAAGCACCGGCUAACUCCGUGCCAGCAGCCGCGGUAAUACGGAGGGUGCAAGCGUUAAUCGGAAUCACUGGGCGUAAAGCGCACGUAGGCGGCUUGGUAAGUCAGGGGUGAAAUCCCACAGCCCAACUGUGGAACUGCCUUUGAUACUGCCAGGCUUGAGUACCGGAGAGGGUGGCGGAAUUCCAGGUGUAGGAGUGAAAUCCGUAGAUAUCUGGAGGAACACCGGUGGCGAAGGCGGCCACCUGGACGGUAACUGACGCUGAGGUGCGAAAGCGUGGGUAGCAAACAGGAUUAGAUACCCUGGUAGUCCACGCUGUAAACGAUGGGUGCUGGGUGCUGGGAUGUAUGUCUCGGUGCCGUAGCUAACGCGAUAAGCACCCCGCCUGGGGAGUACGGUCGCAAGGCUGAAACUCAAAGAAAU
rnacentral:rRNA from 1 species